rnacentral:misc_RNA from 1 species
GAAAUGCGAUAAGUAGUGUGAAUUGCAGAUACCGUGAAUCAUCAAAUCUUUGAACGCACAUUGCACUGUCUGGAAUUCCGGGCAGUAUACCUGUUUGAGUAUCAGUAACAACUCUUGCGCACAUUGGCACCUCUCGGCGGGGUGGCAGUGCGCAAGGACUUGAGUGGAUGCUGUCCAAGGCGCCACUUUAAAUGUAUUUGCUAGGCCAGCACUGCGGUGCGGUAGGCUGACAGAGUUAAUGGGCACCUAGUGCCUGUCGCUGUCGCGUUUGCUGCACAACAUUGUUGGCGCUCCUGGCAAGCUUAGCACCAUGCAGUGCACUUUCGAGUGCGGCUGUGACUUUGAUCUCAAAUCAGGCAAGAUUACCCGCUGAACUUAA